AUUGAACGCUGGCGGCAGGCUUAACACAUGCAAGUCGAGCGGGGUGAGGUGCUUCGGUACUGAUCCUAGCGGCGGACGGGUGAGUAAUGCUUAGGAAUCUGCCUAUUAGUGGGGGACAACAUUCCGAAAGGAAUGCUAAUACCGCAUACGUCCUACGGGAGAAAGCAGGGGAUCUUCGGACCUUGCGCUAAUAGAUGAGCCUAAGUCGGAGUAGCUAGUUGGUGGGGGAAAGGCCUACCAAGGCGACGAUCUGUAGCGGGUCUGAGAGGAUGGUCCGCCACACUGGGACUGAGAGACGGCCCAGACUCCUACGGGAUGCAGCAGUGGGGAAUAUUGGACAAUGGGCGGAAGCCUGAUCCAGCCAUGCCGCGUGUGUGAAGAAGGCCUUUUGGUUGUAAAGCACUUUAAGCGAGGAGGAGGCUACCUAGAUUAAUACUCUGGGAUAGUGGACGUUACUCGCAGAAUAAGCACCGGCUAACUCUGUGCCAGCAGCCGCAGUAACAC
rnacentral:rRNA from 1 species